CCUACGGGAGGCAGCAGUGAGGAAUAUUGGUCAAUGGCCGGAAGGCUGAACCAGCCAAGCCGCGUGAAGGACGAAGGUGCCAAGCAUUGUAAAUUUCUUUUGUCAAGGGACAAAAUCAGGCUCGAGAGCCUGACCGAGGGUACUUGAAGAAAAAGCAUCGGCUAACUCCGUGCCAGCAGCCGCGGUAAU
rnacentral:rRNA from 1 species